rnacentral:tRNA from 1 species
GCCUUCGUAAUGUAGUGGUCAGCACACUCGACGCGUAUUCGAGAGGUCCGCGGUUCGAGUCCCGGCGAAGGCG